UACGGAGGGUGCAAGCGUUAUCCGGAUUUACUGGGUUUAAAGGGUGUGUAGGCGGGCUUUUAAGUCAGUGGUGAAAUCUCCGGGCUCAACCCGGAAACUGCCAUUGAUACUAUUAGUCUUGAAUUUUGUUGAGGUAGGCGGAAUAAGUCAUGUAGCGGUGAAAUGCUUAGAUAUGACUUAGAACACCAAUUGCGAAGGCAGCUUGCUAAACAAACAUUGACGCUGAGGCACGAAAGCGCGGGGAUCAAACAGG
rnacentral:rRNA from 1 species